UGUGGUAUAGCUCAGUGGUAGAACAUUUGCUUAGCAUGUACAAAGCCCUGGGUUCAACCCCCAGUACUACAA